GGGCCUAUGAAACAGACAGCCCCUCUCCCUCCCGGGCGGUCCAUCCACACCAGCCAGAGAGAGUGAGAAGUGAUUCCAUUCAAGAAGCAAAGGUCGCUCCUAUUAGUCAGGAGAGAGGGAUGUUUGGUACGUUCAGGGUUUGUACUGUGACCUUGUUUGUUGUCUGCAUUUAUUUAUUUUAAAGAUUUUAUUUAUUUAUUUGACAGAGAUAGAGACAGGCAGCGAGAGAGGGAACACAAGCAGGGGGAGUGGGAGAGGAAGAAGCAGGCUCAUAGCGGAGGAACCUGAUGUGGGGCUCGAUCCCAUAACGCCGGGAUCACGCCCUGAGCCGAAGGCAGGCGCUUAACCGCUGUGCCACCCAGGUGCCCCUGUUGUCUGCAUUUAGAGAAAAUUGUGAAAUGGGCUUUUUUUUUUUUUUUGUCUUACCCUAUUAGGACCAAAGAGUGCCCUUGACUGAUGUUUGUGUCCUAUGAGAUUGGAUUGUUGUUGUUUUUAAGAUUUUAUUUAUUCAUUUGAAAGAAAGAGUGAGAGAAGGAGCAUGAUGGGGGGGGGGGCGCAGAGAGAGAGAGAGGGAGAAGCUGAACAGGGAGACCAAUGCAGGGCCAAUCCCAGGACCCCAGGAUCAUGACCUGAGCUGAAGUCAGAUCCUUAAUUGACUGAGCCCCCCGGGCGCCCCUGUGAGAUUGUUUCUGUCCCACAAGAGAAGAGCACUGCCUGGCCAGGAUCUCAAGAGCUCGUUUUCCCUUUUCCAGUACGUCUCUGUUCCUACAAAUUCUUGCUAAGCACCACCCACUGUGGGGGGUUCAAUCAAUAGAAGGGUAUCCUCUCACAGUUCUGGAAGCUGCGAGUCUGAAAUCACGGGGUGGACGGGGCUGUGUUCUCUCCGAAGGCGCUACAGGGAAGGAUCCUCCCUCACCUUUUCCAGCCUCUGGUGGCGGCCAGCCACGCCUGGCUCGUGAUGUCAUCCCUGCCCUCCCUGACUCUGUCUUCACAUGGAGCUGCGACUCUGGAGCAAAGAGAGGCACUGGAUGAACAUUGCAGAAUGAAGGCAGGCGUGGGGAUAAGGACAGCUGCAUCCCUUCCAACUGCCAGAGCCCACCCGCCGCACUCUGCUCGAGGAGCUGUAUUCCUGGCCAGGGUGUCCAUCUUCAGCAAACGAGAUCCUCCCGUUGACACGGGACCAGGAAGAAACCUGGGCCUCGAUGGUCGGAUGGAGCAGAAUCCGCUCGUGGCGGGGCAUGCGCGCCACCUGGCGGCCGAGUUCCGCCAACACAGCGCCACCCGGAGACCAGAAAGGUUUGCUCUGGGUGAGACGGGAUUGCGUCUGAAAGGGAAAUGCUCUCCGGAGUGUUCCCGGCUGUGA
rnacentral:lncRNA from 1 species